rnacentral:rRNA from 1 species
UACGUAGGGCGCAAGCGUUGUCCGGAAUUAUUGGGCGUAAAGAGCUCGUAGGCGGCUUGUCACGUCGAUUGCGAAAGCCCGAGGCUUAACCUCGGGUCUGCAGUCGAUACGGGCUAGCUAGAGUGUGGUAGGGGAGAUCGGAAUUCCUGGUGUAGCGGUGAAAUGCGCAGAUAUCAGGAGGAACACCGGUGGCGAAGGCGGAUCUCUGGGCCAUUACUGACGCUGAGGAGCGAAAGCGUGGGGAGCGAACAGG